rnacentral:tRNA from 1 species
GCCGGAGUGGCGGAAUUGGCAGACGCGGCGGAUUCAAAAUCCGCUGAGGGUAAACCUCUUGUGGGUUCAAGUCCCACCUCCGGUAUCA